rnacentral:rRNA from 1 species
UUAAUUUGACUCAACACGGGGAAACUCACCCGGUCCGGACACUGGAAGGAUUGACAGAUUAAAAGCUCUUUCUUGAUUCAGUGGGUGGUGGUGCAUGGCCGUUCUUAGUUGGUGGAGUGAUUUGUCUGGUUAAUUCCGAUAACGAACGAGACUCUAGCCUGCUAACUAGUUCGCCGGCAGCUCUUGUCGCGCGGCGCCGCUUCGGCGGCAAACUUCUUAGAGGGACAGGUGGCGUUUAGCCACACGAAGUAGAGCAAUAACAGGUCUGUGAUGCCCUUAGAUGUCCGGGGCCGCACGCGCGCUACACUGAAAGAAUCAACGUGGAUGCCCACCUGCUCCGAGAGGAGUGGGAAACCCGAUGAAUCUCUUUCGUGAUGGGGAUUGGGGCUUGUAAUUGUUCCCCAUGAACGAGGAAUUCCCAGUAAGCGUCAGUCAUCAGCUGGCGCUGAUUACGUCCCUGCCCUUUGUACACACCGCCCGUCGCUACUACCGAUUGAAUGGUUUAGUGAGACCCUCGGACUGGAGUCCGUCCGCCGCUUUCGGGUGGUGGAGGGGGACGGAAAGACGGUCGAACUUGAUCAUUUAGAGGAAGUAA